UACAGAGGUGGCAAGCGUUGUUCGGAAUUACUGGGCGUAAAGGGCGCGUAGGCGGCCUUGUCAGUCAGACGUGAAAUCCCCAGGCUUAACCUGGGAACUGCAUCUGAUACUACAAGGCUUGAGUUCGGGAGAGGAAUGUGGAAUUCCAGGUGUAGCGGUGAAAUGCGUAGAUAUCUGGAGGAACACCGGUGGCGAAGGCGGCAUUCUGGACCGAAACUGACGCUGAUGCGCGAAAGCCAGGGGAGCAAACGGG
rnacentral:rRNA from 1 species